rnacentral:miRNA from 1 species
AGCCAUCAACUACAGAAUUGUAAGUUAUAAUAUUUGGAACUAAAUUCUUAAGAAACAUUUCUUCAAGUAAAUGCAUAGCUUCAUUCACUCUACUAAUCUUGCAAUAACCUUUAAUCAAGACAUUA